AUUGAACGCUGGCGGCAGGCCUAACACAUGCAAGUCGAGCGGAGCGGCGGACGGGCGAGUAAGGCCUAGGAAUCUGCCUGGCCGUGGGGGAUAACUGACGGAAGCGGGCGCUAAUACAGCAUACUCUCAGAUGAGCCUAGGUCGGAUUAGCUAGUUGGUGGGGUAAGGGACUACCAAGGCGACGAUCCGUAACUGGGCUGAGAGGAUGAUCAGUCAAACUGGAACUGAGAAACGGUCCAGACUCCUACGGGAGGCAGCAGUGGGGAAUAUUGGACAAUGGGCGAAAGCCUGAUGCAGCCAUGCCGCGUGUGUGAAGAAGGUCUUCGGAUUGUAAAGCACUUUAAGUUGGGAGGCGUUACCGACAGAAUAAGCACCGGCUAACUUCGUGCCAGCAGCCGCGGUAAUAC
rnacentral:rRNA from 1 species